CAGGUGCCACGGAAGCAGUGCAGGGAGCGAAUGCUGGAGGGACCUCAGGGAGUGUGCACAUGACAGUUCUGGGCAAUGGAGCAGGAGCUGCUGGCAGAGGAACCCUCCUAAAGCAAAGGUCUAGAAGCCACAUGGACAGGACCUCCCACAACAGCAGUAUGAGUAUGUGAGACUACCAAACUCUAAGUGACCACACAGAUAAAACCAACAGAAAAUAUGCUAGAUUCCUUCUACUAGGAUCCACCAGAUCCAUCUCAUAAAAAAAAUUAAUACCAUCAUAAAUCAUCACUAUGGAUGCCUUCCUAGAACAUGUGGCCAUAGAGAGACAAGAUCUUCAAACCAGUGGUGAAGUCAGCUGCCAACAGACCUGUUGU
rnacentral:lncRNA from 1 species